rnacentral:rRNA from 1 species
AGAGUUUGAUCCUGGCUCAGGAUGAACGCUAGCGACAGGCCUAACACAUGCAAGUCGAGGGGCAGCGAAGAGGUAGCAAUACCUUUGUCGGCGACCGGCGCACGGGUGAGUAACACGUAUGCAAUCCACCUGUAACAGGGGGAUAACCCGGAGAAAUCCGGACUAAUACCCCAUAAUAUGGGCUCUCCGCAUGGAGAGCCCAUUAAAGAGAGCAAUUUUGGUUACAGACGAGCAUGCGCUCCAUUAGCCAGUUGGCGGGGUAACGGCCCACCAAAGCGACGAUGGAUAGGGGUUCUGAGAGGAAGGUCCCCCACAUUGGAACUGAGACACGGUCCAAACUCCUACGGGAGGCAGCAGUGAGGAAUAUUGGUCAAUGGUCGGCAGACUGAACCAGCCAAGUCGCGUGAGGGAAGACGGCCCUACGGGUUGUAAACCUCUUUUGUCGGAGAGUAAAGUACGCUACGUGUAGCGUAUUGCAAGUAUCCGAAGAAAAAGCAUCGGCUAACUCCGUGCCAGCAGCCGCGGUAAUACGGAGGAUGCAAGCGUUAUCCGGAUUUAUUGGGUUUAAAGGGUGCGUAGGCGGCACGCCAAGUCAGCGGUGAAAUUUCCGGGCUCAACCCGGAGUGUGCCGUUGAAACUGGCGAGCUAGAGUACACAAGAGGCAGGCGGAAUGCGUGGUGUAGCGGUGAAAUGCAUAGAUAUCACGCAGAACCCCGAUUGCGAAGGCAGCCUGCUAGGGUGAAACAGACGCUGAGGCACGAAAGCGUGGGUAUCGAACAGGAUUAGAUACCCUGGUAGUCCACGCAGUAAACGAUGAAUACUAACUGUUUGCGAUACAAUGUAAGCGGUACAGCGAAAGCGUUAAGUAUUCCACCUGGGGAGUACGCCGGCAACGGUGAAACUCAAAGGAAUUGAC